UACGGAGGGUGCAAGCGUUAUCCGGAUUCACUGGGUUUAAAGGGUGCGUAGGGGGGUUAGUAAGUCCGUGGUGAAAUCUCCAAGCUUAACUUGGAAACUGCCGUGGAUACUAUUAGUCUUGAAUGUUGUGGAGGUAAGCGGAAUAUGUCAUGUAGCGGUGAAAUGCUUAGAUAUGACAUAGAACACCGAUAGCGGAGGCAGCUUGCUGCACAAUGAUUGACACUGAGGCACGAAAGCGUGGGGAUCAAACAGG
rnacentral:rRNA from 1 species